rnacentral:tRNA from 1 species
GGUGCUAUAGCUCAGUGGUAGUGCGCUUGCCUCGCAUGUAUGAGGCACGGGGUUUGAGCCUUAGCACUA